UCUACUGUGGCAGAAAGUAUGCAAUGAAUUUAAAAUUCAUUUAUAAAUAAUAAAAUUUCUUUAGAA
rnacentral:tRNA from 1 species